rnacentral:rRNA from 1 species
GUCUACGGCCAUACCACCCUGAACACGCCCCAUCUCGUCUGAUCUCGGAAGCUAAGCAGGGUCGGACCUGUUUAGUACUUGGAUGGGAGACAAUAACCAUGAGUAGACUUAAAAUGGUAAAAAUGGGGGGCUGGGGGGU